UAUGCAAUGAUGAGAUUAAAACACAAUUAUGUGUUUUGGGGCAGUGGGUUCCGAUCCAUGAGCCUACUAAUUAACGACUUCUCAUUCCACUGAGCAAA